rnacentral:rRNA from 1 species
AGAUUGAACGCUGGCGGCAGGCCUAACACAUGCAAGUCGAGCGGCAGCGACUUAACUGAACCUUCGGGGAACGUUAAGGGCGGCGAGCGGCGGACGGGUGAGUAAUGCCUGGGAAUAUGCCCUGAUGUGGGGGAUAACUAUUGGAAACGAUAGCUAAUACCGCAUAAUCUCUUCGGAGCAAAGAGGGGGACCUUCGGGCCUCUCGCGUCAGGAUUAGCCCAGGUGGGAUUAGCUUGUUGGUGAGGUAAUGGCUCACCAAGGCAACGAUCCCUAGCUGGUCUGAGAGGAUGAUCAGCCACACUGGAACUGAGACACGGUCCAGACUCCUACGGGAGGCAGCAGUGGGGAAUAUUGCACAAUGGGGGAAACCCUGAUGCAGCCAUGCCGCGUGUGUGAAGAAGGCCUUCGGGUUGUAAAGCACUUUCAGUAGGGAGGAAGGUAGUGUAGUUAACACCUGCAUUAUUUGACGUUACCUACAGAAGAAGCACCGGCUAACUCCGUGCCA